rnacentral:rRNA from 1 species
GACGAACGCUGGCGGCGUGCUUAACACAUGCAAGUCGAACGGUGAAGCGCCUUCCUUUUUGGUGGGUGUGGAUGAGUGGCGAACGGGUGAGUAACACGUGAGUAACCUGCCCCCUUCUUCUGGAUAACCGCAUGAAAGUGUGGCUAAUACGGGAUAUUCUGGGUCUGUCGCAUGAUGGGUCUGGGAAAGAUAUUGUUUCGGUGGGGGAUGGGCUCGCGGCCUAUCAGCUUGUUGGUGGGGUGAUGGCCUACCAAGGCGGUGACGGGUAGCCGGCCUGAGAGGGUGGACGGUCACACUGGGACGGAGACACGGCCCAGACUCCUACGGGAGGCAGCAGUGGGGAAUAGUGCACGAUGGGCGCAAGCCUGAUGCAGCGACGCCGCGUGAGGGAUGGAGGCCUUCGGGUUGUGAACCUCUUUCGCCAGUGAAGCAGGCCUGCCUCGUUUGUGGGUGGGUUGACGGUAGCUGGAUAAGAAGCGCCGGCUAACUACGUG